UGUCGACUAUUUUGAACGAAUUUUGUAGAACUAUUUCAAAUUUCAAAUAAAACUCAGAUAACAAGAUCAGACGACAAGGACACGCUAGUAAAGCUAUGCAUAAAUUUAUAGACGACCUGAAACAUUCAGGUCAGUUUCUAUAUAUACAUAAUUUUUACAGCAGCAUACAAUUUACCUCCGAGCUGCUUCAAGGAAAAACUUACAUGAUUCGCAUUCUUGGAGCCAUUGGAAAGCCAAUAAUCCUACCUUUGUAAUAAAAAGGAAACUUUCUGAUGGAAAGAUGAUCCAACAAUGGGCCGAUGAUGCAAAUGGAAAGAUGAAAGAGAGGUACACAUUGACUGUAUCCUCCGCAUUUUGUGUAGCAAGAAACCAAAACCGUGUACUGGUAUAAUAAAUAUAUGAAAGGAAUGGAUCAACUUCCUUCAUACUAUGUUGACACAUGAAAAUCACCAAAAUGAUACAAAAAAUCAGGAUUUCAUAUCGUGGAAAUAAAGCUGCUCAAUUCUUUCUUACUAUUUAGAAGAUAUAAAAAUUAAUUUCGCUGGUGAAAUUAUAAACACUUUGACCCCAACCUGUCUCUCAAGCUAUCGCACCUAAUCUUGCUGCAUCGUUCAAAUUUUUGAAACAGUAAUCGUUUACCAG